rnacentral:rRNA from 1 species
AGCCUGAACGCUGGCGGCGUGGUUAAGACAUGCAAGUCGUACGGUGUAGCAAUACACAGUGGCGAACGGGUGAGUAAUGAAUCGCUAAUGUACCCCGGACUUUGGGAUAGCUGAUCGAAAGGUCAGGUAAUACCAGGUAAUAUAACUUUGUCGCAUGACAGAGUUCUCAAAGGUCCGCCGGUCUGGGAGCAGGCGAUUUCGUAUCAGCUAGUUGGUAGGGUAACGGCCUACCAAGGCGACGACGCGUAGCCGGACUGAGAGGUUGGCCGGCCACAUUGGGACUGAGACACUGCCCAGACUCCUACGGGGGGCUGCAGUAACGAAUCUUCCGCAAUGCACGAAAGUGUGACGGAGCGACGCCGCGUGUGGGACGAAGCCCUUCGGGUGUAAACCACUGUCAAGGGAAGAAGUUCUGAUCUACCCUAGAGGAAGAGGCGGCUAACUCUGUCGCCAGCAGCCGC